AGGGCUUUCGUUCAUCGGAUAGGACGCGCCGCGUUAAGGUGAAAGCCGGGUUCGAUUCCCGGAAGCCCAC
rnacentral:tRNA from 1 species